rnacentral:rRNA from 1 species
AUGUCUGGGAAACUGCCUGAUGGAGGGGGAGUAACUACUGGAAACGGUAGCUAAUACCGCAUAACGUCGCAAGACCAAAGAGGGGGACCGUUCGGGCCUCUUGCCAUCGGAUGUGCCCAGAUGGGAUUAGCUAGUAGGUGGGGUAACGGCUCACCUAGGCGACGAUCCCUAGCUGGUCUGAGAGGAUGACCAGCCACACUGGAACUGAGACACGGUCCAGACUCCUACGGGAGGCAGCAUG